rnacentral:rRNA from 1 species
GACGAACGCUGGCGGCGUGCUUAACACAUGCAAGUCGAACGGAAAGGCCCUGCUUUUGUGGGGUGCUCGAGUGGCGAACGGGUGAGUAACACGUGAGUAACCUGCCCUUGACUUUGGGAUAACUUCAGGAAACUGGGGCUAAUACCGGAUAGGAGCUCCUGCUGCAUGGUGGGGGUUGGAAAGUUUCGGCGGUUGGGGAUGGACUCGCGGCUUAUCAGCUUGUUGGUGGGGUAGUGGCUUACCAAGGCUUUGACGGGUAGCCGGCCUGGGAGGGUGACCGGCCACAUUGGACUGGAGAUACGGCCCGGACCCCUAGGGAGGCAGCAGUGGGGAAUAUUGCACAAUGGGCGGAAGCCUGAUGCAGCAACGCCGCGUGCGGGAUGACGGCCUUCGGGUUGUAAACCGCUUUCGCCUGUGACGAAGCGUGAGUGACGGUAAUGGGUAAAGAAGCACCGGCUAACUACGUG